AGAGUUUGAUCAUGGCUCAGGAUGAACGCUGGCGGCAUGCCUAAGACAUGCAAGUCGUACGAAAUAGCCCAUGGAAAGUAGAGUGCUUGCACGAAGCUGGAAACGGUUUCUAUUUAGUGGCGGACGGGUGAGUAACACGUGGGUAAUCUGCCCUUAAGACUGGAAUAACAAUUGGAAACGAUUGCUAAUACCGGAUGAUAUGUACAAUGAUACGUUGUUGUAUAUUAAAAGAAGCCUUUAAAGCUUCACUUAAGGAUGAGCCUGCGGCGUAUUAGCUAGUUGGUGAGGUAAUGGCUCACCAAGGCAACGAUGCGUAGCCGACCUGAGAGGGUGAUCGGCCACACUGGGACUGAGACACGGCCCAGACUCCUACGGGAGACAGCAGUUAGGAAUAUUCGUCAAUGGGGGAAACCCUGAACGAGCAAUGCCGCGUGAACGAUGAAGGCCCUUCGGGUCGUAAAGUUCUGUUGUUUGGGAAGAAUGACCAGAGUAGGAAAUGACUUUGGAUUGACUGUACCAUUCGAGAAAGUCCCGGCUAACUACGUGCCAGCAGCCGCGGUAAUACGUAGGGGACAAGCGUUAUCCGGAUUUAUUGGGCGUAAAGCGUGUGUAGGCGGUUUGUUAAGUUUAAGAUUAAAGCCCGAGGCUCAACCUCGGUUCGUCUUAAAAACUGGCAGACUUGAGUAAGAUAGAGGUAAAUGGAAUUUCUAGUGUAGCGGUAAAAUGCGUAGAUAUUAGAAGGAACACCAGUGGCGAAGGCGAUUUACUGGGUCUUUACUGACGCUGAGACACGAAAGCGUGGGGAGCAAACAGGAUUAGAUACCCUAGUAGUCCACGCUGUAAACGAUGAGUACUAAGUGUUGGAGUAAUCCAGUGCUGAAGUUAACACAUUAAGUACUCCGCCUGAGUAGUACGGUCGCAAGACUGAAACUCAAAGGAAUUGACGGGCACCCGCACAAGUGGUGGAGCAUGCUGUUUAAUUCGACAAUACGCGAAGAACCUUACCUAGACUUGACAUCCCUGGCAAAGCUAUAGAAAUAUAGUGGAGGUUAUCCAGGUGACAGGUGGUGCAUGGUUGUCGUCAGCUCGUGCCGUGAGGUGUUCGGUUAAGUCCGACAACGAGCGCAACCCUUAUCAUUAGUUGCUAACAUUAAGUUGAGAACCCUAAUGAGACUGCCGGUGAUAAACCGGAGGAAGGUGGGGAUGACGUCAAAUCAUCAUGCCCCUUACGUCUAGGGCUACAGGCGUGCUAUAAUGGCUGGUAUAAUUAGAAGCAAUACCGUAAGGUGGAGCAAAUCUCCAAAACCAGUCUCAGUUCGGAUUGAGGUCUGCAACUCGACCUCAUGAAGUUAGAAUCACUAGUAAUCCCAGAUCAGAACGCUGGGGUGAAUACGUUCCCGGGUGUUGUACACACCGCCCGUCACGCCACGAGAGUCUGUAAUACCCGAAGCCGGUAGCCUAACCCUUUAUUGGGAGGGGGCCGUCGAAGGUAGGACAGGUGAUUGGGGUGAAGUCGUAACAAGGUAACC
rnacentral:rRNA from 1 species